CCUACGGGGGGCUGCAGUGGGGAAUAUUGGACAAUGGGGGGAACCCUGAUCCAGCCAUGCCGCGUGUGUGAAGAAGGCCCUCGGGUUGUAAAGCACUUUCAGUGAGGAAGAACGCCUGGUGGUUAAUACCCAUCAGGAAAGACAUCACUCACAGAAGAAGCACCGGCUAACUCCGUGCCAGCAGCCGCGGUAAUACGGAGGGUGCGAGCGUUAAUCGGAAUUACUGGGCGUAAAGCGCGCGUAGGUGGCUUGAUAAGCCGGUUGUGAAAGCCCCGGGCUCAACCUGGGAACGGCAUCCGGAACUGUCAAGCUAGAGUGCAGGAGAGGAAGGUAGAAUUCCCGGUGUAGCGGUGAAAUGCGUAGAGAACGGGAGGAAUACCAGUGGCGAAGGCGGCCUUCUGGACUGACACUGACACUGAGGUGCGAAAGCGUGGGUAGCAAACAGGAUUAGAUACCCCUGUAGUC
rnacentral:rRNA from 1 species